GGGGGGGUCCCGGGGGGGUUCCCCGGUGCUGCUGCCGCUGCUGCUGCUGCUGCUGCCCGCGGGAGCCGCCCCCAAAUACGUGCGGGGCCGCAUCAGCACCAAGGAGGACUGGGUGUUCCUGACCCGUUUCUGUUUCCUGUCCGAUUUCGGCCGCCUCGAUUUCCACUUUCGGUACCCCGAGGCCCGCUGCUGCCAGAACAUUCUGCUCUACUUCGACGACCCCUCCCAAUGGCC